GCAGCGUCGGGCAAGGGCACACCGCAGCCAUGCUCUCCAAAAUCAGCAUCACUCGGUCUGCCGGCGUUUUGUCCAGGCUCGUCAUCAUUUCCGUGAUCCUCAGCGCUCUGUGCGACUUAACCACCGCAGGAGGCUGGAAAUUAAUAGUAUGCUACAGUGAUAAAGACUGCCCGAGGGCCGGACCGUACUGCGUGGCGAAGAAAUGCCGACCCAUCACGGCCUACUGCACUGGCAAUGAGACCGGUGUGGCGUCGUGCAACAGCUGCGUCUGCUUAAAUGGUGGCUGGGCGUGCACGAGGAAGGCGUGCGCCAGGAGCUUCCCUUACAACGGAGCCGUGCCAUGCCGCCUGGCGGAGGAUUUGUGCCGGAGCCAAAGCUCGGUACGUUACUGGUGGUGCAGUCGCAUAGAACGUUUACAUUAUGAAAUGCUCGUUCAAAUGGCGAAUGAAUUAAAAGAGAGAUAAAAAAGAAUUAAAAUCAAGGAGAAAAUGAUGAAAUGAAUGAAUGCUUAAAAUUGAAUAGUAAUCUCCGUCAUCGCCUUAAGCAGUGCGAUGCACUAGCUGUUGAUUAGCUUCAGCGCCUACUUGGCAGUAACACCUUCCUAACAACGUAGAAUUAAACAAAGGUUUUUGACAUUAUCGGUGAGAUAGCUCAAUAAAUCGUGCAAAGGCACAAUGCAAGGACAUUUACAUUGCCACAGAACAAAAGAACAACAUACCAAAACUACUACAUGCAAUUAACCACGAGAAGAUGAAACG